UCCAUCAGAUAAUUUACUUUGAUUGGAACUUUGUUGUCCCUUGAACAUCAUGUGAAUUUUUCUUGUUGAUGUUGAUAAUAUACUAUGAUAUCUGUGAUCAGUGGGAAUCUUUGAUGAUCAUAGUGUGUUAUUUAAUUCUGAAGCUACCAGUCUAGUUUUUAUAAUGAUACCAGAUUAAUCCAUAGAAACUGUGUUAUAAUGACAAUACUUUCAUUUCUAGUGUGUUUGGAGAUUCUAAAUCGCUGACUUUCCUUGAUAAUCGUUUCCUUCUAUACAUAAUGUAUCUAAUGUCUGAAAUAAUGGUGAUAGGACUUAUGUCUUCCCUCUGGUAGUAUUGUCUCAAGCUAAUAAUCACAUAAGUUGCAAGAGCAACAGUCGAUGUGCCACCUGUCAAAAGGAAAAGUGACCAGAAGGUACUAAGACCCAAACUUCCGUAUUCAUCAUGGAUUGUGUCCUGAUCUACACAUUCCUCUGAACCAAGCAUUCUUUUCUCUAAAUCUCGGAGAGUGCCACUUUCAGACACAUUUAGUAGCGCCUUUGUAAAAUCAGGAACCAUUGGAGAACCUUUCGGAAGUACCUGCAGUUAGAGGGACAAUUAACUAGACAUGUAUGACUAGAGGUUGUAAAAUUGGUAGGUCGGGUUGUGACUUUGGCCAAGGUAACCCGGAGCUAAACAAGACCUUAUAUAAGCCAAGCUCGAACUAAUUAAUUCAUGUAUUGUGACAAGCAUCCAUGACACAACUAGAAAACAUAUUAUCACCCACCGCUGUUAUCCGUAGUAAAUCUACAUCUAUAUAUCCCAGGUAAAUAAAUCAAAAUAAUAAAAAAAAACUAUGAGCAUCCGUUGACCAACAGGUUGGGUAUCAUGUCAAAUGAGGUCAAGUUUAAACAUGUAAUUCUACUAUACGGGUCAAAAACAAGUUGGGUUGACCCAAAAGAGUUACGUCCAAAACUUUUAAAUCGUUUAUAAACAUUUGGUACAUCAAAGAAGAUGACAUAAAUUAUAUUAUAUGUUAAAAAUAACAUAAUUUUUUGAAUAGACUAUCAAAAUAGUUUUAUGCAUUAGAAUUAGACUUUUCGCAACUUUCAACUAUUUGAUCGUUUCCGCCCAUUUCAAUUAUUUUUACUCCUUUUAUGUUCCCCUUUGGGACAAAUCAUAAAUCUUGAUACAUAAAUGUGUUACUAUUUUAGAUAACAAUGCAGAAAAAUCAAAAGAUCAAAUGGCAAAAGUCUUACAAAUCCAAAUCCCCCAUCCCUGAAUGUAGUCCCGGCUGUGGUGAAGCUCUUGCAGUACUUGGCAAGAAAUAGUUUAGUUAAAGGAGUCUCAAGAAAAACUGCUGCUAUGUGUCUGUUUUUAAGGGCAUAAGCAUAUUCUUCUGGAGAAGUAAAGUUUCUUAGAUUUUCACUCUUGAAACCCAAGACAUCUUCCAAAUACCUGGCCACAUGUGACCCUUUACUGUACCCCACAACAGCAUUUGAAUUCUUCAACGCCUCAUAAUCAGUAACUUGAGGUUUCAACCUUCUAAUAGUGAGCAUACUGGUGAGGCUGGCUGUAUAACACUGACCAAUUAUUAUUGCAGCAAAGAUCCAUGCCACUGUAGUCAUUCUUGUCAAAUUGCUAUGAACUUCAUCAGCUGAGUUUUUAGAGAAUGUUCUUGUAAAGGCUAAAGAUAGAAGAAUUCCGGUUUGAUUCAUAACGGAUCCUUGAAGUUCAGGACUGUGUUUCCUUUCAAUCAAAUAUAUCACCAAGGCAUUAUAAAUAUUGAAAAGAAUUGU
rnacentral:lncRNA from 1 species